rnacentral:rRNA from 1 species
UACGUAGGUGGCAAGCGUUGUCCGGAAUUAUUGGGCGUAAAGCGCGCGCAGGUGGUUUCUUAAGUCUGAUGUGAAAGCCCACGGCUCAACCGUGGAGGGUCAUUGGAAACUGGGGAACUUGAGUGCAGGAGAGAAGAGUGGAAUUCCACGUGUAGCGGUGAAAUGCGUAGAGAUGUGGAGGAACACCAGUGGCGAAGGCGGGUCUCUAGACAGUUCCUGACGCUGAGGCACGAAGGCCAGGGGAGCAAACGGG